rnacentral:rRNA from 1 species
GAUGAACGCUAGCUACAGGCUUAACACAUGCAAGUCGAGGGGCAGCAUUUCAGUUUGCUUGCAAACUGGAGAUGGCGACCGGCGCACGGGUGAGUAACACGUAUCCAACCUGCCGAUAACUCGGGGAUAGCCUUUCGAAAGAAAGAUUAAUACCCGAUGGUAUAAUCAGACCGCAUGGUCUUGUUAUUAAAGAAUUUCGGUUAUCGAUGGGGAUGCGUUCCAUUAGGCAGUUGGUGAGGUAACGGCUCACCAAACCUUCGAUGGAUAGGGGUUCUGAGAGGAAGGUCCCCCACAUUGGAACUGAGACACGGUCCGAACUCCUACGGGAGGCAGCAGUGAGGAAUAUUGGUCAAUGGGCGCAGGCCUGAACCAGCCAAGUAGCGUGAAGGAUGACUGCCCUAUGGGUUGUAAACUUCUUUUAUAUGGGAAUAAAGUUUUCCACGUGUGGAAUUUUGUAUGUACCAUAUGAACAAGGAUCGGCUAACUCCGUGCCAGCAGCCGCGGUAAUACGGAGGAUCCGAGCGUUAUCCGGAUUUAUUGGGUUUAAAGGGAGCGUAGGUGGACAGUUAAGUCAGUUGUGAAAGUUUGCGGCUCAACCGUAAAAUUGCAGUUGAUACUGGCUGUCUUGAGUACAGUAGAGGUGGGCGGAAUUCGUGGUGUAGCGGUGAAAUGCUUAGAUAUCACGAAGAACUCCGAUUGCGAAGGCAGCUCACUGGACUGCAACUGACACUGAUGCUCGAAAGUGUGGGUAUCAAACAGGAUUAGAUACCCUGGUAGUCCACACAGUAAACGAUGAAUACUCGCUGUUUGCGAUAUACAGUAAGCGGCCAAGCGAAAGCAUUAAGUAUUCCACCUGGGGAGUACGCCGGCAACGGUGAAACUCAAAGGAAUUGACGGGGGCCCGCACAAGCGGAGGAACAUGUGGUUUAAUUCGAUGAUACGCGAGGAACCUUACCCGGGCUUAAAUUGCAUUUGAAUAUAUUGGAAACAGUAUAGCCGUAAGGCAAAUGUGAAGGUGCUGCAUGGUUGUCGUCAGCUCGUGCCGUGAGGUGUCGGCUUAAGUGCCAUAACGAGCGCAACCCUUAUCUUUAGUUACUAACAGGUCAUGCUGAGGACUCUAGAGAGACUGCCGUCGUAAGAUGUGAGGAAGGUGGGGAUGACGUCAAAUCAGCACGGCCCUUACGUCCGGGGCUACACACGUGUUACAAUGGGGGGUACAGAAGGCAGCUACCUGGUGACAGGAUGCUAAUCCCAAAAGCCUCUCUCAGUUCGGAUCGAAGUCUGCAACCCGACUUCGUGAAGCUGGAUUCGCUAGUAAUCGCGCAUCAGCCAUGGCGCGGUGAAUACGUUCCCGGGCCU